CUUACCAGUGCCAUUGAAAAGAUGUAGUAUUUUUUCAGUAGAAAAAGCUGGUAUAUCCAUGAUGACGAUGUUAUUUGCUUUUUGAUAGUUAAACAAAGAUCUGUCUUUUCUUGAAGUUCCUUUUUUUUAUCUCUAAAAUGAUUACACUUGCACAUAAUUUUCCUGUUAUAGAGUACAGUUUGAAAUUUCUGUAAGGUCAUUCUUCGUGGUCCAUUAUCUCCUCUGAACAAGUACUCUCAGGAUCUGAGACUGAGUUCUUUGGGUGCAUAACAGUAGCUUGUUAACAUUCACAUUCUUUAUAUAACUGCUAGCUUCAUUUGAAAUGUUUCAUACAAAAUCAUUGUGCUUAUUGCAGUUAUGGAAUGUUUUUCCAUAUUUGGACUGCAGGAAAGUCCUCCACAGUGGGAAAAUGGGCCUCCAUAGCUGCAGGUUUAUCAAUGACUUUGUUUGCUUCCCAUUGGACUUAUUUUUCUUAUGUUGAUCUUGCACUUGUUUGUAGUUCCAUGAUUUACCUGCUUGCACUACAGGGCUUCAUAUAUUUUUGCUUGAGAUGUCUUCAUCACUCUUGCAAAGUUGAAUAAUUCUUCCACAGCAUGAUGUCUAACUGUUGGUGAUGAUGUGUUUUGCACUACUUACAACUUUAUUCCUCAAUGUGGAUCACUAAAUUCACAAGUCUAGUAUGGUAUGUAUAAGGUUUCUUAGUCUAUUAGAUGACAAUGCCUAAACACACAUUUCUUACUCAAGGUUGUUGCCUUUAUUGAAUUAGGGAUAUGGUGAUAAUUUUGUGGAUGAUUUGGCCAUAUUACUGAUUUUGAAAACGAGUCUUUUAUUAUCUUAAAGUUUUCUUUCUUGCUCACGUUGCUUCACAUUUGAAAGUUUUUCUAGGAUCCCUUCCUCAUUGCCAGUUAUACUGUUUCAUUAGUCUGUUAUAACAUGGCUCAAAUACUCUUAGAAUAAAGAUUGGAUAGUUUUUAUUUCUCACUACUGUUUUACGAAGAUAAAUUCCACUCUCUUUCCUUAUCUAUCCCUUAUACUCCUUUUCCAUGUGACCACUCCCAUAUAAAUACACCAAUCAAAUGAAAGAAAUCAGAAAGAAUAGCUGUAUCACUUUUAUUACAACUAGCUUUUUAAAUUAAUCUAAAAAAAUGACUUGUCUUUGUUUAUAAGAAAAUAGGAAAUUUAAUAGUUAAUAUUUCUCAUUGAAUAUUAUAUCAAAACUGAAAAUACUGAAUUGGCAGUGUAUCUGACCAAGGAAUUGUGUAUUUUAGUUGUGUAGUGUUAAUGGGUAGAAAUCUCAUUCAGUAAAUAAAAAAGUAUAACUGCUGUGGAAAGCACUGACCCACAUAAUUUAUGUAAAUGAACUUCUGCAGAUAACUGGAGCAUUAAAGGAAAGAGAAGGAACACAACGGGAACUGGAAGACUGCGUCAUCUUAAAAAAGUUUGGCAGAGGUUUAGGAAUGGGUUCAAAGAAGGAAUAAAACCUAAAACGUUGAAACGUGUGGCUUCUGCAUCAGCACCGACUUCAGCUUAAGAUGAAUUAUAUGUACAGUUGGCUGUUUGUCAAAUAAAGCAGAACUUCCUUAAACCUUGUAAUGACUUGUACUAAGAUGUAUAUGUAUUAUUAGCAGUUAGUACAUAUUAUAAAGACAGAUGGAACAACU